GAAAAGUGUAAUCAAAUGCCCUUGAGCAAAACGUUCAAAACCAUCCAUGACACAUUCAUGGGCGCGAACUAUCAGCUGGAGAUCAUUAUUGUUGCAAAAUUCCAUGACACGAUCAGGCCCAAAAGUGACUAAACCCGGACCUCUAGCAUUUGGCCGGAGUCCUUCCACACUAUCAUUUUCUGUAGGAUCAGACCACAACAAAUCCA
rnacentral:misc_RNA from 1 species